AUUUUCUUGGUUUUAUACACUUAUAAAUGAGACAAGAGGACUUUCAUUCAUCUUUUCAGGGCAGUUUGAAGUCCCUUAAUAUAUUUAUGCCUUGAGGAUUUCAGAAAUUAAAGUGUCCAGACUAUUCCUAGAGCAUAAUAUGUGUGAUCUCAGAACCUAGGAUUUUAUUCUGCAUUCCAUGAGAAUUAACCGGUAUAGAAGAGGAAUCGAGGUAAACUGUGAACUGUGCUCAUAAUUUCUGAUUUGUCAGCUAAGCUAAAUGUUAUUUCUUUUUUUUCAUUGACUUUGUACAAGUUGAUAAGUUAAAUGUUACAUAUGUAAGUUCUUAUUUCUUAGAUGAUCUUUUAAAAUUCCAUUGCUUUUCUUUAAUUUUAGAAAGAGCGAAAAGGAAAGGAUGAGAGAAUACCAACGAGAACUAGAAGAAAGAGAAGAAAAAUUAAAAAAGAGGCCACUGCUAUUUGAAAGAGUUGCUCAGAAAAAUGCAAGAAUGGCAGCAGAAAAGCAUUAUUCUAAUACCCUAAAAGCACUAGGAAUAUCUGAUGAGUUUGUUUCAAAGAAAGGCCAAAGUGGAAAAGUACUUGAGUACUUCAACAAUCAAGAGACGAAAAGUGUCACUGAAGACAAAGAAAG
rnacentral:sRNA from 1 species